GGGAGGGAGGGAGGGAGGGAGGGAGGGAGGGAAAGAGAGAGGCAGAGAGAGAGGGAGUUAUAAUCCUGGUGGAGCGCUGAUUUCGCCAGGCCAGACGAAUCGCCUCCAGGAUCCUGUCACCAUCUCUAUGAAGAUAAAUGGUAUCAUUAAACAGGCUCUGUCAUCGAUUAAACAUCCUGUUGGAAUCCUGUUUUUUUAUGUGGAAAUACAAAAUUGCAAUGGAUAAUGUUCAACAUGAUUCAACGUUUCAGGGUUUGUUACAGAGGGUCCAAUAACAUUCCAGAAUUCAGAUAGAGCUGCAGCGGUUUUAACCUUUACUUGUGUUACUGCCAAAAAACGGUGUUUCACACCAAGCAAUUUGAGUUGAAUACAUGUUGUUAUUACUGGGACUAUGUCAUAAUGGCUGAUUAUGAUUGUUACAAUACCCACUACUAGCAGCUACAAUGCUAUUAGUACCAACGGCAAUACGAGAUCCAUUCAUGAUGAAUACACACUGAAAUGCCAUGGAGAUGGAUGUGUGUCUACAAAAGCACACAGGCAUUGUUGCGUUGGCCGUGAGGUGUGUUUGUUUGUGAGGGCCUGAGUGUGUGUGUGGUGUGGAUGGGAGAGUACACAGAGAAGGAGUAAAAGUGUGUGUAUGUGUGAGUGAGUGAUUAGAUUUGGUCUGUCUGUCUUUGUGUGUAUGCAUUCAUAUGUGUGUAUCUGUAGUGUGUGUGCUUUCUUGCCUGCAUGUGUGUGUGUGUGCCACAGAGAGAGGAAGUAUAAGGGGGUGCAGGUGGCAUGGAGCAGGCUGGCACGGGCGGGCACGGGCCCACUGUCCCCUGGCAAUGCCAACACCAUCUGUCAUGGAGAGGAACAUCUGCAGCCCAAGGUGCCCUUGUCACCCAGCGUUAGAGUAACCAGUUUGGCGUUUCCAUUGGAAGCGACCUGGCAUAGCCAGAGCCACGCAAUUUAUGUGUGUGUUUGUGUCUGUAUGUGUGUUUGUGUGAGAGAGAGAGGGAGGGAGGGAGAGUGUGUGUGUGUGUGUGUGUGUGUGUGUGUGUGUGUGUGUGUGUGUGUGUGUGUGUGUGUGUGUGUGUGUGUGUGUGUGUGUGUGUGUGUGUGUGUGUGUGUGUGUGUGUGUGUAUUAGAGAACCAAAGCCAAAACAACAUGGCUGUGCAAAGCGUUGACCCAGCUGGACCCCAGUUGCAUGCAGAGUCAUGUCCCCUCCUGAUGCUAGUGUGCCACUACAUCCACACCGCUGCCAGACUUAGCCCUGCAAGCCCUCUCUCCUACCCUCCUGCCUCUCCUCUCCUCUCCUCUGGUGUCUCCUCUCCUCCGGUCUCUCCUCUC
ensembl:lncRNA